CUUUAGAUUAUGUCUUCAAUUAAUCGAAAAGUUGAAAUUCAAUUAGUAAAGUAAAAGAAAUUAAAAAAAAAAAGAAAGUUUGGCAUCAAAAGAGGUAAUUUGUGCAAAUUUUCCUUCUUUCGAGAGAAUUGAUUUUACUUAAAAAGUCUCAAAUAUCUCUGUGUACGAAUUUUUUUGCUUAGGAACAAUAUUCUAUGCAUUGUAGAAUUUAUAGCUAGACCGACUACUUCAACAACAAUUAUUCAUGAAAUCAUAUUGAUAUAGUAUUAAGAGUCAAUUGUUGAACCCAUAAAAACAUUAUAACUGGGAAUAUAUUUUUUAUCCAAAACUUAAAAAGAAGCAAUUAAUGCAAAUGAUCAAAUUUAGAGUUGCCCAAAAUGUUGCAACUCAGAAGCACAAACGGCAAACCUCCCGUCGGCGUCGAAUAUCUCUUCGUUUUGCCCAAUCGCCAUAUCCAGCAGUAGUAAUAUGAACUUUCUGAUCAAUGUCGACAAUGAAUCGGAACUCAGAAGCACAAUUUUCUUCCUUUUGCUCAAUCGCCAAAUCCAACAAUAGGAGUAUGAACAAGGCCUUCACAUUCUGAUCAAAUCUGAGUACUAGACAGAAGAAAGCAAAUCAAAUUUGAGAAAGAAGAGGCACAGUAGUUGGUCGAGGACGAAAAUCAAACAUAUGAUUAUCUUAUAUUCAUGUGGUCAAGAAGUCACAAUUCAAACUGUGAAGUCAAGAGUUUGGAUCUAAAUGGCUUCUAUUGGUCACUUUAAUACACUUGGCUACCUUGGUCUUCUAUGAUCAUGUGAAACAGUUCUGGUAUUUGCUGUCCAAGAUGCAUUAUAAAUUGCUGUGAUCAUUUGGUCAACGUUGCCUAUGCUACUCCUGAACUAAUUAGCGAUUCAAUUUAGUAAAUUCACGGAUUCUCUUCUGAUAACGGGCUCUUGAUGUUAAAGAUGCUUUAUUAUCCAUGGUUUGAUACUGGUAGAUGAGUCUUUUGAGUAUAUAGGUACUUGUUGUAUACAAGGUUUAAAACUUGGUAAAGUUGUCUCCAUGUGACCUAUAGGUCACAGAUUCGAUCCGUGUAAGCAGCCACUAAUGCUUGCAUUAGGAUAGGUUGUCUACAUCACAUCCCUUGGGGUUCAGCCUUCCCCAGAUCCUGCUAACGCAGGAUGCUUUGUACAUGGGCUACCCUUUUAUCCUUUGUCAACAUACGGACACUUGCAGUAUUAUGGUUACUUUCAUGUCAUUCCUUCCAAUGGAGUUCCAUAAGCUACUAUUUUAAUGCUUAAUAAUUUGGAGUUCAUUUUCAUUUCUUGUUUGGUUGUCUUUGGUGUACAAUAUUUACACACAACAUAGUGGAGGCUAUAGUUGGUGAUCUAGGAACUAAAUCUACUCCACAAAGAAGUUCCUUUGUUAUCUCUGCUUUGUGCAGGUACAAAUUUUGCAGGUAAUAAACUAUUUUGUACAUGUAAAUUUCACCACCAUCUGUCACUGUUUCUCGUACUUGUCGUUAUAUUUCCUCACCAACUCACUAGAACGAAAGA